rnacentral:rRNA from 1 species
GAUAAACGCUGGCGGCGUGCAUGAGACAUGCAAGUCGAACGAAGGAUCGGGCUUGCUCGAUCCUUAGUGGCGGACGGCUGAGUAACGCGUAGGUGACCUACCCCGAAGUGGGGAAUAACUGCCCGAAAGGGUGGCUAAUACCGCAUGUGGUCGCACGUUCAUUCGUGCGAGUAAAGCCGCAAGGCGCUUCGGGAGGGGCCUGCGUCCGAUUAGCCCGUUGGUGGGGUAAUGGCUUACCAAGGCGACGAUCGGUAGGUGGUCUGAGAGGACGAUCACCCAGACUGGGACUGAGACACGGCCCAGACUCCUACGGGAGGCAGCAGUCGGGAAUUUUGCUCAAUGGGGGAAACCCUGAAGCAGCAACGCCGCGUGAGGGAUGAAGGCCUUCGGGUUGUAAACCUCUUUUGUCAGGGACGAUGAUGACGGUACCUGGCGAAUAAGCCACGGCUAACUACGUG